GGUGAUGACUCCCUGCGCCUGGCCAAAGAGGCCCUGCACAGGCUGGGCAUUGACCCUAACCGUCCAGUUCAAAGGGAAACUCAGAUAAAUUCGUUCGUGCAGCACGUGUUUAACCAGAUUCAGGAGAAACAAAAAGAUUUACGGGUAUCUCCCGAUAGAGACCCCAGGGUGCAGUUUUAUAACUCCAUGUCAGAAAAUUCAAACGGAAGAGUGGAUUUCGACCUUGAGCAGGGCUCUAUUGUCGGCAAUGUCACCAAGGUGGAGGUCGCAUUCAUCGGUCAUCUCCAUAGAAACUUUACCAUUGAAAUCACUUCUCCAAGUCAGCUGGACACAGUAGUCACCACUGCACGGACUCCACACGGCAAGGUGGCAGACAUUACGACCCUCGUUGCAGACAAGCUUUCUGGUUCUACUCUUUCUCUCUCCAUCUCCGUCAAGGGUGCAGGGAACUGGAUCAGACAUCUACGUCCCGUUCUAGCAAUAUUUCUGGAUCUUGAUGCUUCUGUUUUGAAUCGACGUCAAAAGCGUUUUAUUGCUCAGACAGGAAAUAGUUCGGUUUCCGCGGAUUUGGCUGAAAGUAGAAAUUACUGCCGUCUAAUACCAUGGACGGUUAGUCUUCGGGAUCUGGAGUGGUAUCCACAAUUUAUUAACUCCCCAGAAUCUUAUCAGGCAAAUCUUUGUUCCGGCGAGUGUCCCCGAGCAAUAUUAGAGAGUUAUUUCAAUGUCACAAACCACGGAAUCUUCAAGGCGAUGUCGGAGAAGAAACUUUGUUGUACCCCUAUUGAGUACAACGAUCAGUCUCUGCUAUUUAGAAAUACAAUCCUGAGGAUUCAGACGGUCAAGGGCAUGUCUGUGGCAAGGUGUGGGUGUCGCUGACCACCGUCAAAUCCCAUGAGCCAUGCCCAUCUGUGAGACAAAGGCUCAGAGGAAGUGAAGUCGUAUGGCAUUUGUUGGCGAAACCCAUAAAAGCAUGGAGUAACUGUCUAGCAAGCAAGUGACAUAAAUAUGAGCAAAUACUUAGCAUCAUUCAAAUAUUCCAGAAGUGUAUAUUUGUUUAGUGAAUAGUAAAGAUUAUUUACCUUGGAAACCAUAAGUAAAAGAUAUGAGCAU
rnacentral:misc_RNA from 1 species